rnacentral:rRNA from 1 species
GAUGAACGCUAGCGGCAGGCUUAAUACAUGCAAGUCGAGGGGUAGCAAGAUUGUAGCAAUACAAUUGUUGACGACCGGCAAACGGGUGCGGAACACGUACACAACCUUCCUACAAGUGGGGAAUAGCCCAGAGAAAUUUGGAUUAAUACCCCGUAACAUAGCGAUGUGGCAUCACAUUGCUAUUAUAGCUUCGGCGCUUGUUGAUGGGUGUGCGGCUGAUUAGAUAGUUGGCGGGGUAACGGCCCACCAAGUCUACGAUCAGUAGCUGAUGUGAGGGGAUGAUCGGCCACACGGGCACGUGGACACGGGCGCGACUCCGACGGGAGGCAGCAGUAAGGGAGAUUGGACAAUGGACGCAAGUCUGAUCCAGCCAUGCCGCGUGAAGGAUUAAGGUCCUCUGGAUUGUAAACUUCUUUUAUAAGGGACGAAAAAAGGUCUUUCUAGAUCGGCUGACGGUACCUUAUGAAUAAGCACCGGCUAACUCCGUGCCAGCAGCCGCGGUAAAAC